rnacentral:rRNA from 1 species
CAUGCAUGCCCGCUCACCCGGGACGCGGCGGACGGCUCAGGACAACGGUUGCACCCCCCGCGGCGGUCCCUGCUAGCCGGACACCGCUGGCAACCCGGCGCCAAGACGUGCGCGCAAGGGCGGGCGCCCGCGGGCGAGCAGCGUGACGCAGCGACGGCCCGCCCGGGCUUCCGGGGCAUCACCCGGUCGGCGCG